GGAGUGAUAAGGAAGCCCUGUUAUUUUUGUUCCUUUCAGUGUUUGCAUUGUUGGGCGGGUGGCACUAAUGAGCGUUCUCUCAUAGAGCCGACUUUGUUUCGGCCGUGGAUAUUCCCCGUGUGGAUAGAUGAAUAUCUGGGCUGCUGGCGUUGGGUGCCUCGCGGGACUGAGUUACAGCCGUGUGCAUGCUGCUGUCGAGGCUGCUGGGUGCCACAGUUAUCUAAGAGGUUAACACUCCCCGGCGCGUUUCUCCUCCCACUCCUGCUGUUCUGGAUAUCGGUAUAAAACUUUGCUGUGUAUUGAUACAGUGUCUGGAUAUAUAUCUGCCCUGGAUGCACAGAACUGGUUUGGAGUGAUACGUUCUAAGUGUUUGAAUAUCCAGACAUUGUCUCUGUAAAUAUUGGUAUUAACUGGAUGUAUACUGCAUGUGGGUUUGUUUUUUUUCUUUGUUUGAUUUUGAUCCUUUAAUUACGCAUGUGGGUUUGUUGAUUUGAUUGGUGUUUGUGUUUUUUUUCUCUAAUACGCAUUACAUAUGUUUUUAAUAUGACAAAAGAAUAAAAUUGUAUAUUUUUUUUAUAAUUA